UCGGAAAUUUGCUGAAAUUAUAAAAAAUAAUAAGUUUCAAAAUUUAUUAAUAUAAUAAAUAUAUAUAUAUACAUAUACGUACCUUUCCUUUUUCCGAACGAUGUUGUCUCAAUUUAUUCAGAAAUUGUGGUUUGCUGACAUAUGGUGGAAGAGUCGCUAAAAUGUCUUCUUCUCUCAUAUCAGGAUCAGAGCCAUAAGUUUUAACCAAAGAAUUAUGGUUGCUCCUUCAGAGUUUGUUCAGCCUACCAUUGAUAUAAGUUUGUGCAGCUUUGCUUCCACUUAAAUCAUAUUCAGCCUACAUAUUCAAAACUUAUAAGUUUUGGAAAAUUAAUAAAUUAUAUAAAAAAAUAUAUACUUACAGUUAAUAUUUUUAACGCGUCCUGAAAAUU
rnacentral:lncRNA from 1 species